ensembl:snoRNA
ACGGUCUGAAAAUCACCUUUGGUCUCCCGUGGCCUCCGGUGAGAUAACGGUGCCGACAGCAAAGGGAGCAGCAGAGCGUAUCGCCCACGGUGACGGUGUGUGGGCAGUGAAACCCGUGUUCCCAUAACG